UUUUCGGAUGGAUUUAAAACAGCUUAGUGGCGGACGGGUGAGUAACGCGUGAGCAACCUGCCUUGUACAGGGGGAUAACAGUUGGAAACGGCUGCUAAUACCGCAUAAGCGCACAGCAUCGCAUGAUGCAGUGUGAAAAACUCCGGUGGUAUGAGAUGGACCCGCGUCUGAUUAGCUAGUUGGUGAGGUAACGGCCCACCAAGGCAACGAUCGGUAGCCGACCUGAGAGGGUGAUCGGCCACAUUGGGACUGAGACACGGCCCAAACUCC
rnacentral:rRNA from 1 species